rnacentral:tRNA from 1 species
AAAGAGAUGACAGAAAAAUGUAAUUGGCUUGAAACCAAUAAGAUGGAAGUUAAAAUCUUCCUCUCUUUU